rnacentral:rRNA from 1 species
GACGAACGCUGGCGGCGUGCUUAACACAUGCAAGUCGAACGGAAAGGCCCUGCUUUUGUGGGGUGCUCGAGUGGCGAACGGGUGAGUAACACGUGAGUAACCUGCCCUUGACUUUGGGAUAACUUCAGGAAACUGGGGCUAAUACCGGAUAGGAGCUCCUGCUGCAUGGUGGGGGUUGGAAAGUUUCGGCGGUUGGGGAUGGACUCGCGGCUUAUCAGCUUGUUGGUGGGGUAGUGGCUUACCAAGGCUUUGACGGGUAGCCGGCCUGAGAGGGUGACCGGCCACAUUGGGACUGAGAUACGGCCCAGACUCCUACGGGAGGCAGCAGUGGGGAAUAUUGCACAAUGGGCGGAAGCCUGAUGCAGCAACGCCGCGUGCGGGAUGACGGCCUUCGGGUUGUAAACCGCUUUCGCCUGUGACGAAGCGUGAGUGACGGUAAUGGGUAAAGAAGCACCGGCUAACUACGUGCCAGCAGCCGCGGUGAUACGUAGGGUGCGAGCGUUGUCCGGAUUUAUUGGGCGUAAAGGGCUCGUAGGUGGUUGAUCGCGUCGGAAGUGUAAUCUUGGGGCUUAACCCUGAGCGUGCUUUCGAUACGGGUUGACUUGAGGAAGGUAGGGGAGAAUGGAAUUCCUGGUGGAGCGGUGGAAUGCGCAGAUAUCAGGAGGAACACCAGUGGCGAAGGCGGUUCUCUGGGCCUUUCCUGACGCUGAGGAGCGAAAGCGUGGGGAGCGAACAGGCUUAGAUACCCUGGUAGUCCGCGCUGUAAACGGUGGGUACUAGGUGUGGGGUCCAUUCCACGGGUUCCGUGCCGUAGCUAACGCUUUAAGUACCCCGCCUGGGGAGUACGGCCGCAAGGCUAAAACUCAAAGGAAUUGACGGGGCCCCGCACAAGCGGCGGAGCAUGCGGAUUAAUUCGAUGCAACGCGUAGAACCUUACCUGGGUUUGACAUGGAUCGGGAGUGCUCAGAGAUGGGUGUGCCUCUUUUGGGGUCGGUUCACAGGUGGUGCAUGGCUGUCGUCAGCUCGUGUCGUGAGAUGUUGGGUUAAGUCCCGCAACGAGCGCAACCCUUGUUCACUGUUGCUAGCACGUUAUGGUGGGGACUCAGUGGAGACCGCCGGGGUCAACUCGGAGGAAGGUGGGGAUGACGUCAAGUCAUCAUGCCCCUUAUGUCCAGGGCUUCACGCAUGCUACAAUGGCUGGUACAGAGAGUGGCGAGCCUGUGAGGGUGAGCGAAUCUCGGAAAGCCGGUCUCAGUUCGGAUUGGGGUCUGCAACUCGACCUCAUGAAGUCGGAGUCGCUAGUAAUCGCAGAUCAGCAACGCUGCGGUGAAUACGUUCCCGGG